GACGUAGGGUGCGAGCGUUGUCCGGAUUUAUUGGGCGUAAAGAGCUCGUAGGCGGCUCGUCGCGUCGACCGUGAAAACCCGCGGCUUAACUGCGGGCUUGCGGUUGAUACGGGCGGGCUAAAGUUCGGUAGGGGAGACUGGAAUUCUCGGUGUAGCGGUGAAAUGCGUAGAUAUCGAGAGGAACACCUGCGGCGAAGGCGGGUUGCUGGGCUGACACUGACGCUGAUGCGCGAAAGCCAGGGGAGCGAACGGG
rnacentral:rRNA from 1 species